rnacentral:rRNA from 1 species
GACGAACGCUGGCGGCGUGCUUAACACAUGCAAGUCGAACGGAAAGGCCCCUUUUGGGGUACUCGAGUGGCGAACGGGUGCGUAACACGUGCGUAACCUGCCCUUGACUUCGGGAUAACUUCAGGAAACUGGGGCUAAUACCGGCUAGGAAUCCUUGCUGCCUGGUGGGGGUUGGAAAGCUUCGGCGGGUUUGGAUGGACUCGCGGCUUAUCAGCUUGUUGGUGGGGUAGUGGCUUACCAAGGCUUUGACGGGUAGCCGGCCUGAGAGGGCGACCGGCCACAUUGGGACUGAGAUAAGGCCCAGACUCCUACGGGAGGCAGCAGUGGGGAAUAUUGCACAAUGGGCGGAAGCCUGGUGCAGCAACGCCGCGUGCGGGAUGACGGCCUUCGGGGUGGAAACCGCUUUCAGCAGGGGCGAAGCUUGUGGUGACGGUACCUGCAGAAGAAGCACCGGCUAACUACGUG